AGUGUUAGAGUUCAGCACAACAUUCUGGUAAAAACACUGCUGUGUGCUAAAGCUCAGCCUGGGUAAACAGCCUGGUGGCCUCAACAUCUGUAAGAGAGAUGUGUGCAGCCAGUCUUGGUCGUCAGAUCUUGUUCUAUGAUAAGGCCCCCCACUUUGUGUAUGAAGGCAGAGGAUGUAAUCCUUCUAGAUUUCAGGGAGGCCUUUGAUCCUGUCCCUCGUGGCAUCCUUCCAGACAAGUCAUCCAAAUGUGAGAUGGACAGGUACAGGCUAUACUGAGUGGCUCAGUGGCAGAGCUCAAAGAGUCACAGUGAAUGGGGCUCCCAUUGACUUGGACGCAGGAGAGGCGUGCAUCCUCUGCAGGUUUUCUUAAACAGCUGAUGAUAUUUAACUGGGAAGUGCUGGAGGCUCCCUGGAGGGAUGGGAGACCUUGCAGAAGAAUCUAGAUAGAUCAGAGCGUUAGGCAAUCAGCAGAGGAAAAUGCCAGACAUUGUACCAGCAAUGGAAUAGGAACAAACAUACAGAUGAGGAGACAAGUGUCUGGAGAGCAGUACUAGGACAGGGUCUAGAGGUGGUGGGGACAGCAAGUUUAACAUGAGCCAGUGGUGUGUCCUGGCAGCCAGGAGGAGGGGAACAAAGCUGCUAACAGGACUGGAAGGUGUGUGCUCUGGGGAGAGGCUGAGGGCACUUGCAUUGCCGAGUCCAGAGAAGAAAAGGCCAGGAGAUGACCUCUUUGCUCUCUGCAUCUCCCUGAAGAGGGGAGAACAGAGGAAGGUGCUGUGUUUACCUGGGAACCAAUGACAGGACGAUCAGGAAUGGCCCAGAGCUGCAUCAGGGGAAGUUCAGACCAGACAAUAGGAAACAUUUAUUUACUGUUAGUGUGGUCAGCUGCUGAUACAGGCUUCUUAGGCUGGUGGUUGAUUCCCCACCAAAAAAAAUCAAAGCCAUACAGAGUUGAAGUUAGGCAAACAACUCGAGGUGAUUGCUCUUGAAGAAGGACCUUGCACAGAGAAAUGCCCUUUUGCUGCAUGUUCCCCGUCGGCCAUGAAGACCAAUAGUACUAUUGAGGUUGGAGAUCUUCCUGCUCUGGAUUGGUUCCUUUCAUUGUCUCUUGGUGGAUUGUUUUCUCCAAUCUUCAGGACUGUGAGAUCUGCCAAUGCUUGCAGAGUCUCAAUUUAGUCUUUCUUACUUCCUUAUCUUGCAGUUAGAGUAAGCUCUGUGGCUUUCUUUACUUGCAGCUGGGUGAAAGUCCAGCAGUCUGUUUCCUCAGGCUUCAGCAGAUUUAAUUGCAUCUUCUAAGCAAGUUCUGUGCAAGAUUAUUCUAUUCAAGUAGCACAACAAAUUAGAGAACAAGAAUAGCCUUAUGAAUAUAGAAUCAUAGAAUGGUAUGGAUUGGAAGGGACCUUUAAGAUUAUCUAGUAUCUAUAGGCAGGGAAUACCUCCCCCUAGAUCAGGCUGCUCAAAAGUCCUAUCCAGCCUGGCUUUGAAUGCUUGGAAGGAGGAGGCAUUCACAACCUUGCUGGACAACCUGUUGCAGUGUCUCACCAUCCCCACUGUAAAAAGUUUCUUCCUAAUAUGUAGUCUAAAUCUACCCUUUUCCAGUUUAAGCCAUUUCCCCUUGUCCUGUCACUACCUGGCCUCAUAAAAAGUCCCUCCCCAGUUUUCCUGUAGGGCCCUUCUGGUACUGGGAGGCCACUACAAGGUCUCCUUGGAGCCUUCUCUUCUCCACAUCGAUGAGCUCCAGCUCUCUCAGCCUUUCCCUACAGGUGAGGUGUUUCAGCCCUCUGAUCAUCUUUGUGGCCCUCCUCUGGACCUGCUUAACAACUCCGUGUCCUUGUGCUGAGGGCUGCAGAACUGGACGCAGUACUGCAGAUGGUGUGUCAGUGAGAGCAGAGCAGAGGGGCAGCAUCACCUCCCUUGAACUGCUGGUCACAGAAUCACAGAAUUGCAAGGUUGGAAACGACCUGCAAGAUCAUCUAGUGCAACCACCCUCCCAUUCCUAUUAGUGCCACAAGCUACUAAACCAUAUCUCGUAGCUAAUAAUAAUGUGAUUUCUGUGAUCACAGUGAGUUAGUCUUUCACACCCAGAUCAUUAGUCUUUCUGGGUUCAGCAACAGUGAAGUUGCUCUAUCUAUCUAGCUGGCACUUGUGACAUGGGUGCCAGGUAGGUCUGGUUAGUGCUGCUAUUGAAAAAAUGCAUUAUGCCCUCACAUACGAUGAUGAAAAUCACGUAACACAGCAGCCUACCAGUCCUUCCACAGUAGUCAGAACAAACUUCACCUGCCUGCCUGAAGAUAAGGCAUCUGAAUACAUGCUCAACCUGCCAAAAUACAUGAACAGCAAAUGCCUCUAAUUAGAACUGGUCUCAUGUGAAGACAAGAAAGUGAGAGAAUGUAACCUUUCACAUAACCUGGCAUUGUUCAGCCUGGGGAAGAGAUGGCUCAGGAAGAUCUUAUUGUGAGUGAAUACCUGGGCUGAGGAUGCAAAGAAGGUGCAGCCAGGCUCUUUUCAUUGGUGCCCAGUUGCAGGACAUGGGCAGAAACUGGACUGCAAGAGAUUCUGUCUAAACAUCAGGAAAAAAUUCUGUGUGUGGGUGACCAAGCACUGUCACACGUUGGCCAGAAAUGUUGUGGAGUUUCCCUCCUUGGAGAUUUUCAAAAGCUGACAGAAAUAGUUUGGGGCAGCCUGCUUUAGGUGACCCUGCUUGGGCAAGAACGUAGGACCAGGUGAGCUGCGAAGUCCCUGCCAACCCAGUGUGUGAUUCUGUGAAUUUGAUGGCACAAGAGUAUGCGUAACACCACCUUAUUGGAAACAGUUUUAUGUGUAAGGAAAUUCCAAAAAAAUCAUUAUGGCCUACAUUUCUUCUGAAACACAAUAGUCACGAUAUCCUGCUCAGGCAUUCAUAUUGUAAUGGAACGUGAUUUCAGUUACAGAAUAGAGAUUGCCCAUAGCUAGCAGCCCUCUGGAAAGGGCUUUUUAGUAAGUCAUCAUAGAGCUUCCCUAGAUCUGCUGUUUCUGCUUUCACUAGCAAUGAGACACGUGAUCGUUGUGACAUCUAUGAACACAGGUCAGGAGACACUUAUCUGUCAGUAGAACGUAGCUUCCAAAAAUGCCUCCUUUCUAUCUCAGGACUGAUAAGGUAGCUGUAUGCAGUAUUGGCAAAGUGGUAUGAAAUAAGUCCAUGGGAAGGAUGUUCCUGAAAUCAUAAUGAGCUGUUAGAAACAAAAGAUGUUUUGAGACCACAGUCAUGUGUGGUGUGAGAUGUGAAGGUUAGCAAUCUUGACUGAAAUACUGAAUUCCAUGAUUCAGUAAAGAACUUUUGCCUGGGCUUCCUCAUAGGCUUCCAAACACUGCUUCAAGCAGUGCUGCAGAUUGCACAGUUAUAUGUUUUGGAUAUGACUUGUUUACCUUUCUAUGAGCCACUUUCAGACCUCACGGCAUUCUGUUCUUCAGUUCUUUCCAGGCUGUUAUUUGACUUUUGUUGAAAAGAGCUUGUGGUCCAAGUCUCCAAAUGGAAGGCUCUGAGAUGCUGCUCUUGUUGACACAGGUUGUAAAAGAUGACUGGAGCUUUAAGAAUAAUUUCCCUUCUGCUACUGAUAUGAAUGUCAAAUCCACAAUUACAAUAUUAAGAGCAUGAUAUAAAAUUGGGGCUGUUGGCAUGUGGACUUCCAUUAGCUGUUAGCCAUAGUUAGGAACUUGCAAAGCAAUCAUAUUUAGAUUUUACUGGUAUUAUUUUUUUCUGAUGAAACCUUCCUUUUAAUCCUGCAGAAGAAUCUCAACUGAACACUUCUUUUCAGUCUGAAAAGGCUGUGACAUCUGAAGAUGUGCCAGGUUGCAGCCAUGUGCCACAUGCAUUUGGAUCCAUGGAAUUUGCUGAUGGAACUUCAUUGUUUGAAGAAUCUCCACUAGAAGAGUUUGUUCUAAAUGCUCACAGAACAAAGCAGGUGUCUGAAGAUCCAGUGCUAGUUUCUGACAGAAAAAAAUACAAUUCUUAAUCCAGAAAUCUGCUUCUCAGUGUGUAUAAUGCUUAUUACAUAUUUAAGUAUUUAGAGGACCUUGACCAAAGGGAGAUACAGAUUGAGCAAAGAAGUAUGUUGAGCAUAAAUUGUGAUGCCUUCUACCUGAAAGCCAUGGUUCAUUUGAUGAGAACCUUAACUUCAGUGUUCGGUUUGCACUGAAACAGCGAGUAAGGAAACAAGCGAAGGAGUCAGUGAGGAUUUUAAAACAAAAUGGGAAGUGAUAAGGCACAGUUAAUAAGAUUUUGGAGUUAGGCAAGAGGUGGACAGAGCUUUAAAUGUACCGACAGAAAUUCAAUCUCUCUGUAUUGGACAAGAAAACCCACAGUGAAGCAAUUCAAAUUUCGCAGCUAAAAAAGUGAUAAUUCAUAGCUAUGUUUAGAUAAGCUGGUGAGGAGUAAUCCUAAAUGUAGAAUUUAGAUGAACAGAUAGAAAAAUGGCACUUGACAAUCUAUAAGAAGCAAACUCAUUUUAGGGGAGAAUCAGAGGUACUGAAGAGUUUUUAACUACUUUGCUCAAUAGACAAGUAGUGUAGGAUGUUUUUAUGAGCAUUGUGUCUGACCUGCUUAGAUGUUAGAAUUUCCUUGACAGUGACUUCUCUGGAUGUGAUUGCAGUACCUGGCAGCAUUCAAGGUGUGAUACUCAGCUGGGCGAUAUGGAAUUCACACUGUCAGCUCCAGUGACAGGAAAAGUGGCAUCUAUGAAGCAUGCAAAGAAAUGUGGAUGCAGAGUCAGCAUUAAGAAAUGCGCUGCCCUUUGCACUUCCUGCUCCAAAGGCCUCCUUUCCAAAGAGUGAGACACAGAAGCAAGUGCAAGGCAAACCCCUCCAGGCACCUCCUUCCACAGAGAGCCAGUGCACGACAGUCAUCGCAGUUAAGAAGCCCAAAACACCAGCAAAUACGUAUGAACUGACAGCAACUGAGGUUCUUCCUGAGAGGAGGUAAGUGUGCAGUUAUCUGUAUAUGUUCUUGGUUUAGAGCAGUGCUACCUCAAUCAGUGAACAGCCUAGGAAGCAUUGUUCACAACAGCAAGCUGUAUUUCCUUUCUCUUGGUUAAAAUUCUCCUAAAACCUCUUGUAUUCCCUGGGAAACACUGAAAGCAGAAAAUAAAAAUUAAAACUAGAAGU